AAGGAGGAUUGAGAGGUUACAUUGGUUGGGUUAUAGUUUGAAAAAGGGUGAGCGUAUUUGUCAGUUUUUGAUUAUCUGUGGAGGAAUUUUGGUUUGUGGUUUUGUAUAGAUUUGAUUUGUAGAGGGAGCUAGAUUCGUCAGUUUUGUUCUGCUGGGGAAGAAGACGAAUUACUAAUUCUGUUCUUUUCUUUUGUCGGUCUUGAUCACAUCUGGGUGCUUUUGAUCUCAUCUCAAUCGCUCCAACCACUACCAACUUCCCGAUGAGUGCAUAUAUGAUAUAUUCUGGUGUGGUUUAAUUAUUGUUAUUAUGUUCACGCGAUAAUGAGAUGUAUAUAUCUCAAGUGGAGAUCGAAUAUAUAAUUUGUAUAUGUAUAUAAUAUACCUGUAAUACUAUAUCCAGAUCAGUAGCUAUGAGAACAAGAUUGAUGAAAUGAAGCCCAUGAGUCCAUGACAAGACAGGAGUAUGUUGCAUCUUUGAGGAGAAAGGAAACCCCUCAUCAUUCUUAUAAUUUGGACAAUCAUAUGCAUCAGUUCAAGGGAAGUAGCGCAAGCAUCAGAACCAAAAAGGUGAAAGCUGAAUGCCAACAGUUCAGGGAAUAUUGUAGGGCAGGAAAUGGAGAAUGGUUAUUGUUUGGAACAGCACACGAGAGGAUCAGAGGAUGAUUGUUACUGAUAUUCGAAUUAGAACAAAUCUCCUGAACAGAAAAUGAACAAGUAUGAUGGUAGAGUUCCUAUGAGUUCAGAUUCGAUGAGUAAAAUAGAGGCAGAACUUGAAGCUGAACUUGGGAGGUUGGGGCUAAACAGGAAUACUUCUACUUUGGAGAGAAGAUUAACUUAUCUUGAUGAGGUGAUGGUGUGAGUGUGUGACAGAGUAAAAGCAGGAUCUCCUUCAAUAUAUCUGACAGCUGUUAAGGUAAAUGAUCUAUAUCCUUAUUUCCUCCAUAUGUAUAUAUAUCUCAAUUAUCUUGAUCAAUUACAUUGUAUUGUCUCUCUCUGUAGAGUGUCACUGAUCAAAUUUCAAAAAGAGAGAUCGCAAAAGCUCUUUCUAUAUCCAAUAAUUAAUAGAAAUUGAAGAUGGUAAAACUUUCCUGAACUUAUGGCCUAUAUGUGGAGAAUUGGGUGUGCCAUGUCUCAGCCAAUGUCUGGCAAUGAAUAAAGCAAGAAUUUAUAAACAUUCCCCUGUUUAAUUAAUGACAUAUAUGCAUAAGAUUUUUAGAUACUCAUCCUCUGAUCGAAUGACAAAAUGUUGUCGUAGCAUUCAAUUGUACAGAAAAUAGGUGU